rnacentral:hammerhead_ribozyme from 1 species
CUCCAGCUGACGAGUCUCAAACAGGACGAAACGCUCAUCCUGGAU